AGUUCUCAAUGACUUUGCUGCUAAAUAUACAGACGUUGAGUUUGUCAAGAUUGAUGUCGAUGAGCUGGAUGAUGUAGCUCAAGAAUAUGGGGUUCAAGCAAUGCCAACGUUCGUGCUGAUAAAGAAAGGUAAGGUAGUUGACAAGAUUGUUGGAGCAGACAAGGAUGGGCUACAGAAGAAGAUUCAGAAACACAAAGCUAUCUACGUCUAAACAAACCAAAGGCAGUAACGUAAUGAGCA
rnacentral:misc_RNA from 1 species